ACGGAAGGCAGCAGUGGGGAAUAUUGGACAAUGGGGGAAACCCUGAUCCAGCGACGCCGCGUGAGUGAAGAAGUAUUUCGGUAUGUAAAGCUCUAUCAGCAAGGAAGAAAAUGACGGUACUUGACUAAGAAGCUCCGGCUAAAUACGUGCCAGCAGCCGCGGUAAUACGUAUGGAGCAAGCGUUAUCCGGAUUUACUGGGUGUAAAGGGUGCGUAGGCGGCAUGGCAAGUCAGAUGUGAAAGACCGGGGCUCAACUCCGGGGCUGCAUUUGAAACUGCCAGGCUGGAGUACAGGAGAGGCAGGCGGAAUUCCUAGUGUAGCGGUGAAAUGCGUAGAUAUUAGGAGGAACACCAGUGGCGAAGGCGGCCUGCUGGACUGUUACUGACGCUGAGGCACGAAAGCGUGGGGAGCAAACAGGAUUAGAUACCCUGGUA
rnacentral:rRNA from 1 species